rnacentral:lncRNA from 1 species
CGGGGGGAUUUGCCGUGGCUCACACCCCCAACCCCUCCCCACCCUGCAGAUCUACGUCAGCGUGCCGGGCUCCAAGAAAAUCAUCCUGGAGCUGCCCCUCGUCAUCGGCAGCCGCUCCGGCAUCGGCAGCCGCAGCUCCAGCAUGGCCAGCCAGGCCAGCUCCGAGAUGAGCUGGGUGGACCUGAACCUCCCCGAUGCUCCAGAAGCCCCGCCGUGCUACCUGGACAUCGUCCCCGAGGAUCACCGCCUCGAGAGCCCCACCACGCCGCUGCUGGACGACGCCGACAGCUUCGACAGCCCCAUCUUCAUGUACGCGCCGGAGUUCAAGUUCAUGCCACCGCCCACCUACACCGAGGUGGAUCCCUGCGUGGCCAACAACAACAACCACCCCGGCACCGCCAGUACCACCAGCACCAGUAACACCAGUAACACCAGUAACACCAGCACCGGCCCCGUGCAGUGAGCGCACCCGGCGCCUCCCUCUGCUUCCUGACCCUGCGGGCGCUGGAGCCGCGUUCUGCCCCGCGCCCACCGCAGCCGCACCCGGGGGGGGUUCCCGGCCCUCGCCGUCCUCGUGUCCUGGGCCGUGUGUCCGUCCGGGCGCUGCUGGGCGAAGCGCUGCUGUGCGCGGCCCGGGCCCGGCCGCCGCUCUCAGGUUGAGUUCCGUGGGGCGCUGCAGAGAACAGCUCCUUUUCUACCGUUGUUUUGUAUUCGUGU